UACGAAGGGGGCUAGCGUUGCUCGGAAUUACUGGGCGUAAAGGGCGCGUAGGCGGAUAGUUUAGUCAGAGGUGAAAGCCCAGGGCUCAACCUUGGAAUUGCCUUUGAUACUGGCUAUCUUGAGUUCGGGGAGAGGUGAGUGGAAUGCCGAGUGUAGAGGUGAAAUUCGUAGAUAUUCGGCGGAACACCAGUGGCGAAGGCGACUCACUGGCCCGAUACUGACGCUGAGGCACGAAAGCGUGGGGAGCAAACAGG
rnacentral:rRNA from 1 species